ACCACACUUUGCUUAAAACCCCCCCUAUUUUCGGGGCUACCUGCUUCGGCCGACGGCCGGCUGGGAGGGAGCAUGCUCCUGCCCAGCUGGCCCNAGGNCCUGUGGCGGGGCCCCCAAACUAAAACCUGAGUAUCANUGUGUCUAGGUGGCGAAAGCCGAACCAAACACAACCUACAACGAUGGAUCUCUUGGCUCUGGCAUCGAUGAAGAACGCAGCGAAAUGCGAGACGUAAUGCGAAUUGCAGAUCAACGCGAGUCAUUGAAUCUUUGAACGCACAUUGCGCCCUCUGGUAUUCCGGGGGGCACGCCCGUCCGAGUGUCAUUUCUACCUCGAGCUUCAGGCUUGUUGUUGGGUACCGCCUGGGAGGGCGCACCUCAAAUGUAUUGGCGCCUCUGACGGGCCCCCGCAACGCACAGAGCUUAACCGCCCGCGUUUAGGGGCCCAAUAAGGGGGCGGCCUCUUUGCCUGCCUGCAGGCUUCCUCUAGUGUAUGGCCUCGGAUCGGGCGGGGUUACCCGCUGAACUUAAGCAUAUC
rnacentral:rRNA from 1 species